rnacentral:rRNA from 1 species
AGGACGAACGCUGGCGGCGUGCUUAACACAUGCAAGUGGAGCGACGAACCAGGGCUUGCCCUGGGGCAGAGCCGCGAACGGGUGAGUAACACGUGGGUUACCUGCCUUGAUGACCGGGACAACCCGAGGAAACUCGGGCUAAUACCGGAUGUGCCCGCAAGGGGAAAGGAAGCUUCGGCCUCCGCAUCAAGAUGGGCCCGCGGCCCAUUAGCUAGUUGGUGAGAUAACGGCUCACCAAGGCUUCGAUGGGUAGCUGGUCUGAGAGGACGAUCAGCCACACUGGGACUGAGACACGGCCCAGACUCCUACGGGAGCAGCAGUGGGGAAUAUUGGACAAAUGGGGGCAACCCUGAUCCAGCAAUGCCGCGUGGGUGAAGAAGGUCUUCGGAUUGUAAAGCCCUUUCGACGGGACGAUGAUGACGGUACCCGUAGAAGAAGCCCGGCUAACUUCGUGCCAGCAGCCGC